GAUGAACGCUGGCGGCGUGCCUAAUACACGCAAGUCGAACGCAUCCUUCGGGGUGAGUGGCAGACGGGUGAGUAACGCGUGGGAACGUGCCCUUCAGUUCGGGAUAACCCAGGGAAACUUGGGCUAAUACCGGAUACGUGCGAGAGCAGAAAGAUUUAUCGCUGAAGGAUCGGCCCGUGUCUGAUUAGCUAGUUGGUGGGGUAAUGGCCCACCAAGGCGACGAUCAGUAGCUGGUCUGAGAGGAUGAUCAGCCACAUUGGGACUGAGACACGGCCCAAACUCCUACGGGAGGCAGCAGUGGGGAAAGUUGGACAAUGGGCGCAAGCCUGAUCCAGCCAUGCCGCGUGUGUGAUGAAGGCCUUAGGGUUGUAAAGCUCUUUCGUCCGGGACGAUAAUGACGGUACCGGAAGAAGAAGCCCCGGCUAACUUCGUGCCAGCAGCCGCCGUAA
rnacentral:rRNA from 1 species